CAGUGCAGCAUCGGCAUGUCUGUCCUGAGAAAACAAGAUCCAUCCUAAUAUUGCAACUUCACACAGGAACGGGAAAGCAAAGAGUGAGGGUGAGUCGAAAAUUAGCAGUCAGGGCUUGUCAUUUUGACUGCCAGCAGAGAAAACUCUUAACAAGAUACCCAGAGGAUGAGGGCAAUGCAAGUAAAGCAAGUAAAUCAAAAGAAGCCCUUUUGACUUCAUUUUGCACUUUGGAUCAAACUGCGCAAACAGCCCUUGGCCCUUUGCCAACUCCUCCACCCAUGACAGCAGCUCUCAGAGGUUUAACCAGAUGGUUAGCGCUAGCUGGUAAGUGUCCUGACCUACAGACCGCGCAGUCCCAGCCUCUCAGGGAGCUCCCUGGGAGACACUGGCGUACACAGGCACCAGCCUCCGCCCAGUGUGGGUCCAGGAGCAGCUCUGGGAGGGCAAGAGAUCCAGCUCUGUGCUCAGGCUUCAAGCAGCCUCUUCUGCAGGACGACACAGCCAUCUGAACACACAUCUUCAAGUGUGAGACUGGGGAUGAACUGCAUGGGGAUGAAGUCCUUCACAGACUUCUUAACAGAAAAUAGCAUCUGCUUAAGAUAAUACUCUCCUGUCACUACUUAAGAGAUGGUGUCCGAUCAUCCAAGAGAAAAAUGAGUAUGUUGAUCGCUGGUUUUACCAUCUCCACUCCAGACAGAGAAGGAGGUAUUACAGGAGUUGUCACUACUGAAACUU